rnacentral:rRNA from 11 species
AUGAAUAUCCUAAAUACCCUAAAGCCAUCAGAUUCUCUCUGAGCUUGGAAGCUAAGCAGGGUCACUCCUAGUUAGAACUUGGAUGGAAGACUGCCAACAAAUACCAGGUGCUGUCAGUU